rnacentral:rRNA from 1 species
CCUACGGGUGGCAGCAGUAGGGAAUAUUGCUCAAUGGGGGAAACCCUGAAGCAGCAACGCCGCGUGGAGGAUGAAGGUCUUCGGAUUGUAAACUCCUUUUGUUAGAGAAGAUAAUGACGGUAUCUAACGAAUAAGCACCGCCUAACUCCGUGCCAGCAGCCGCGGUAAUACGGAGGGUGCAAGGGUUACUCGGAAUCACUGGGCGUAAAGAGCGCGUAGGCGGGAGAGAAGGUCAGAUGUGAAAGCCUAUGGCUAACGGAUUGAACUGCAUUUGAAACUGUUAUUCUGGAGUACGGGAGAGGUAGGAGGAAUGUUUGGUGUAGCGGUGAAAUGCAUAGAGAUCA